rnacentral:lncRNA from 1 species
AAGAACAAACAAACACUUGUUGAAAGAUGCAAUGCAUGGAGAAACUAUAUAAACUAGAACAAAGAGUGGGAAAAUAUACAUCAGAAAAAUUUACAACACUUGAUUUUUCAUUCACAAUUUAAAACAAAAGAUGGACUCCCAAAACGCGAGCUACAAUGCUGGGCAAGCCAAGGGUCAAGCUCAGGUCUACCUUCAACCUCUUCUCUUUCUUGCAUGGUUAAUAUUCGGAAUUCAUUGACAAGGUUUUGUAUUGUAUUGCAGGAAAAGGCUAGCAACAUGAUGGACAAGGCUAGCAAUGUUGCUCAUUCUGCUCAAGACUCCAUGCAACAGGUUCUUCCACGUUUUGUUUCUAAAAUUUUACCCAAUCAAAUCAUGUUGUAACAUUCAUGUUUAAUCCAUAUUUAGAAUAAUAUUCAUAUUGAUAUAUGAGUGUAAAGAGUUUUGCUAGGUUGUUGAAAUAGAAUUUAAGAUGCAUGAUAAAAGUAAGUGUAUUUUGUUGUGUGUAUAGGCUGGGCAACAAAUGCAGGAAAAGGCACAAGGAGCUGCUGAUUCUAUCAAGAGUAUUUUGAAUUCAAAGAACUAAUGAAGCUAAAUGGAUGGUUAAUUAUGUCGAACUUCACUUCCCUUCAAUAAACCUUGUUUCUACUUAUUGAAUUUGUUCUUGUACCUCUUAAUAUAUUGAUAUAUGAAGAUUUAUUACUUUGUUAAGAAAUAAAUUUAAGUUUAAUUUAAUCUUACAAAUCGAUUAAUAUAUUUAAUUAACU